rnacentral:rRNA from 1 species
GAUGAACGCUGGCGGCGUGCCUAAUACAUGCAAGUCGAGCGAACGGACGAGAAGCUUGCUUCUCUGAUGUUAGCGGCGGACGGGUGAGUAACACGUGGAUAACCUACCUAUAAGACUGGGAUAACUUCGGGAAACCGGAGCUAAUACCGGAUAAUAUAUUGAACCGCAUGGUUCAAUAGUGAAAGACGGUUUUGCUGUCACUUAUAGAUGGAUCCGCGCUGCAUUAGCUAGUUGGUAAGGUAACGGCUUACCAGGGCAACGAUGCAUAGCCGACCUGAGAGGGUGAUCGGCCACACUGGAACUGAGACACGGUCCAGACUCCUACGGGAGGCAGCAGUAGGGAAUCUUCCGCAAUGGGCGAAAGCCUGACGGAGCAACGCCGCGUGAGUGAUGAAGGUCUUCGGAUCGUAAAACUCUGUUAUUAGGGAAGAACAUAUGUGUAAGUAACUGUGCACAUCUUGACGGUACCUAAUCAGAAAGCCACGGCUAACUACGUG